AAUGAGUUUUCAAUCAUUUCUCAAUACGUUCUCACUUUUCGCGACAGAUAUCAGUUUCUACUUAUUGAAACUGAUUCAUAAUAAAAGAGAACCAAAACAAAAAAUAUGGCAAGUAAAGAUGCUCGAUCAUUCGCAUUGUACGUUAACUCAAAACCAAACAAGACAAAGUCAACUUCCAAAAUGAUACCAGCAGCUGUGGCUUCUGGAAGAUCCAGGAGAUCGUCAAUGCUCCCAACCACAGAUGGUCCGGUAGCUGGCUCCAGGAGAGACAAAUUGGAACGAUCUAAAAGAGGGACUAGAGAUCGGGAACGACCAGAGACUCAUUGCUUCUAUCAAUGGCAGGCUCAUUGCAGGCAACCCUUCAACCAACAGAAAAGAGUGCUCGAGGAAAAUCGUCAAGACGGAAAAAGAAAAAACCACAAUGCACAGCUCCCGAGGAAAAGUCUCUAAUGACAUCCGAUAGGGAAUACUUUCCGGUUUUGGAGAAAACGCUUCGAGGAUUCAAAUUUUAUCAUGGGUUUCUGCCACGCGAAGAUCUACAAGCCACGUUGCACAAUCCAGGAGAUUAUUUGAUUCGUGUGUCGGAAGUAGUUGAAGGAGAAAGCAAAGUCGUUCGGGAGAUCAUUUUAUCACUGAUGACGGGCCAUAUGGAAGGAAAACAAAAAGAGAAAAGGAUUCAUAAUGUGGUGAUUAAACGUGUAUCCAACAAGUUUUUCUGUGAAGCAGCACGCCCAUUCGCUACUGUAGCCGAUCUCAUCAACUACUACACAAAGCACACUGGUCAUUGCUCUUCUGGAAAUUUUCAACUGAAACACCCGAUUCUUCAGCAAACAUGGGAAUUCAUGCACUCGGAUGUGACAGUUGGAGAUGUCCUUGGUGAAGGAGCAUUCGGAAAAGUGUGCGCUGGUGAACUGAGGCUCAAAGAUGGAAGUUCAGCAGAAGUAGCAAUCAAGAUGACCAAAGCAUCUGCAUUUUUGAGCAAAAUGAAGAUUAAGGAGAUGAUGAAUGAAGCAAGGUUCAUCAGAAACUUCAAUCAUAAAAACGUCGUACGCCUAUAUGGAGUUGCUCAUGAUGAGCAGCCACUGUACAUUCUACUUGAGUUGGUCAAAGGUGGAUCCUUGCAAGAUUACAUGAAGCAGACGAAAUCGGUGCCCCUGGCGGAUCGAAUCAAUUUUUGUCUUGGAGCUGCAAAGGGUCUUGCGUACUUGCAUCAAAACAAUUGUAUCCAUCGGGACAUCGCCGCCAGAAAUUGUCUUCUUCACGAGAACGAGGUCAAGAUCACCGAUUUUGGAUUAUCUAGAGCUGGACCAUCUUAUACAACAAAGACAUCUUGUAAGAUUCCUAUAAAGUGGCUCGCGCCUGAAACCUUGGCUACUCUGAGCUUCUCAUAUGCAACUGAUGUUUAUAGCUGGGGAGUCACUUGCUACGAAGUCUUCGUCGACGGUGCUGAACCAUUUGAAGGUGUCUCGAAUGCAACUAUCAAGGCUGAUAUCAUGGCUAACAAUUUCUAUCCAAUGCCAUCAAUGACUCCAGACGAAGUAAAAGAGUACAUGAGCAGUUGUAUUUUUGUCGAAGAAUCUCGUCGAGCCACAAUACCAUUGGCAGUUGCAGAAUUUGAACGAUUUGCUCGAAUGUGUGAAGAUGGGACAUUACAGAUGGGAAAAGCGAAAAAUAGGCUUCUGGCAGUUUUCAAAAACAAUAGUGAUAGAAGCAGAAAAAGUCAGAGAAGCAAGAGGACGAAGAAGAAGAAGGAAGUGCCAAAAGAGGAGUGAAC